GACGAACGCUGGCGGCGUGCUUAACACAUGCAAGUCGAACGAAGUGGCGAACGGGUGAGUAACGCGUAAUCAACCUGCCCUUCAGAGGGGGACAACAGUUGGAAACGACUGCUAAUACCGCAUACUGAAGGAGGGGAUUGCGUCUGCUUAGCUAGCUUGAGGGGUAACGGCCCACCAAGGCGAUGAUCAGUCGCCGGGCUGAGAGGGUGAACGGCAACAUGGGGACUGAGACACGGCCCAGACGCCUACGGGAGGCAGCAAGGGGGAAUCUUCCGAAAUGGACGAAAGUCUGACGGAGCAACGCCGCGUGAGUGAUGACGGCCUUCGGGUUGGAAAGCUCUGUUAAUCGGGACGCGGUACCGGAAUAGAAAGCCACGGCUAACUACGUGCCAGCAGCCGCGGUAAUAC
rnacentral:rRNA from 1 species